rnacentral:rRNA from 1 species
AUACGUAGGUGGCAAGCGUUGUCCGGAAUUAUUGGGCGUAAAGCGCGCGCAGGCGGUCCUUUAAGUCUGAUGUGAAAGCCCACGGCUCAACCGUGGAGGGUCAUUGGAAACUGGGGGACUUGAGUGCAGAAGAGGAAAGUGGAAUUCCAAGUGUAGCGGUGAAAUGCGUAGAGAUUUGGAGGAACACCAGUGGCGAAGGCGACUUUCUGGUCUGUAACUGACGCUGAGGCGCGAGAGCUUGGGGAGCAAACAGGAUGAGAUACCCUGGUAGUCCACGCCGUAAACGAUGAGUGCUAAGUGUUAGGGGGUUUCCGCCCCUUAGUGCUGCAGCUAACGCAUUAAGCACUCCGCCUGGGGAGUACGGUCGCAAGACUGAAACUCAAAUGAAUUGACGGGG